rnacentral:lncRNA from 1 species
GUGUUUGCUUAGUUUAAGUGGAAACAAGGGACAAAGUGAAAAAUGGAGGAAAUGGGAAAGUGUAGUGUAGUAUAUGAUAUACUAGCUAGGCUUGCCUUUAAUGAUAAAGGAAAGGUUAUGCAUGGUUUCUUCUUUUGCAGUGUCUUAAUUUUUUCCUUAGAAAGAUAGAGUGUGAGAAGGACCUAAGGGGGAAAGCAGGUAGCUUAUAGCAAUCAUCUGAGAUGGUUGUUGUUUCUGUUCCUCAUUUUCAGUGGGGGGUGUUGGAGAGUGGAGAGAAGGGGAAGACGGUUUUGGAAGUGAAGAAGUGUGAUGCAACACAAUCAGAAAUGGAUCGAACAAAGGACGUGAGAUUUUGUAAGUUGGUGGUGGCUCUCAUGUGAAGAAAGAAAUUAUUGGGGCUUUGUGUUGUGGCAUUGGUGGUGAGUGGGGACAAGUGUAUAUAUAGGAUCCAAAUGGCUUUGGCCUUAUUCAAC